ACAGAAGCUCUGAGAUUCCACGUUUUGCAGCCACGGAGGGAAAGUUACCACACCUGCUUAACUGCUAAGCUAGUGGUAAGAAGUUCGACAGCCUUUCUUCAGCCCCUUCCUGCCAUCCCAGGAUUUGAAAGAGUGACAAAGUAUUUCAUCCCUUCACAGGAUUGGGAGGUCCACAACAGGGCUGAAGUUGCAUCCUUUCCCUCUUGUCAUCUGCUCCCAUGUGACUGCAGAGCCUGUGCUGUGCUCUUAGCUCACCCUGCAAAUGCUCCUUGCGAUGGAAGUAAGUACAGAGCUGGCACAGAAGACUUCACAUGUGAUAACAAUAUUCUUUGGGUUUAUUCUUGCUUUGAUUCCACUGGGGCCACUUGCUCUACACAGAGGAACUAAAGGUGGCAAAUCCUCUCACAUCCUCUUCCAAUUUUCAGUGGAAGGUCUAUGCCACAUCAACCACUUUGGUUUUUUGGAGAGGUUGAGCUUUUAUUGUUUUAAGAAAAGCCGGUUAAACCCAAACAGGAGAAACAACUGCAUCACGUGCUGUGGUUGGGAGUGCAGAGCAUUCACAUUCCAUCUGAUCUUGUGCUUCCACUCCCUGCACAUACUAAAUGUGGCAGCUAUUGGCACAAGUGUAGGCACAGAGAUGGGCAGGAGUAGUUUGCAAUGCCAGACAUUUUCCUUAAGGACUCAUCCAGUUUUCUAGAACCAAAGAUUCCCCUAUGGUAAAGUUGACAUCUUAAAGCAUUGUAGGAGGUAGAAGGAUGUGACUGCACUUGACCUGAACUCAGAUUAGGCAUGUCUGUGAUUCUGUAGCUAUCUUGAAGUUUGCCAGUGAAUAACAAAGUAUAUGAUAAAUGAAAAUAUGACUAAUUAAUCUGCAAGUACAAAAAAAAAAAAAAAAAGCCUAUCUUUCUUUAAAAAUCCUUACCUUUCAAAUAAUCUGAAGGCAUAUUGACCCUGUAUCAUCACAGUGAAAUUCAGCAGGGGUGUUCUUACUAGUGGACUAAGAAUACAGAUCUGAUUGCAUACAUGGAAAACUAUUUUCUACCGGUAUUCUUUGCUGCUGUAAUAAACAAAUACUAUCUCUCCCUCUAGACUUUAUCUCAUCUGUUUAUAGUGUUGGCAUUUUUCUUUUUUGAGCUGGGAAGCAAGCAAUACCAAAAUACUGUAAGAUUGUAAAAGGGGCUUUCUGGUUAUGCCAUUUAAAAAUAAUUCUUUGUGUUCUCUAGUUGGAACUGAGAAAAAACAUUUAUAUUUCAUAUUUCUAAAAGCAGUAGCAGAUUUACUGUAAUGCGCCAGUUCAGAGUAAUUUGUUCAUACACUGCAAGUUCCAGAAAAUCCCUCAAAUUCUUUCAGCUAUCUAAUAGGUGGAAAAUUACCAGUACCUCCCAAAAGGUGCUAACAACUGUGUGUGAUAUGUAGAAGUUGGCUUGGGUUGGUUGUUUUUGUGUUUGUUUGGUUGUUUGUUUGUUUUAAGCUCAAUAGAAAGUCAUACAUGGGAUGAAUUCAGCUGUUUUUCAACACAGUUGGUAUGGACUACUGAUGGUUCGCUUUCAAAAACAGAGAAAUAGAGAAAAAUAGAGUUAGAGUAGCCACUGUUUUGUUUGAAGUGGAAUAUUUCAAAGCUACAUUUUAAAGGAAAACAAUGAAGAAUAGUCAUUCACCAAUGCUGAUACAGGAUUGACAGAGGUUAACACUACUGACAUCAUGCUGGAACUGUAUAGCAUUUUGUCGGUGGUUAUUAAUGCCCUGCUGCUGGGAGACAGACAGUGCCAGCUGCCAGUUGGUGUGGUGCUUCUCUGCGGGUGCACCUCAGCCUCUGCUUCGAAAGACUGUGAGCGUCUGAGGAUCUGCUCCCUGCCUAGUCAUCGUUCCUCUGGCACAGGAGGAGAGGAGAUGGUGCUACAGAAGCAUCCGUUCAGAAGGCAUGGAUGACUUGUGUUACUCAGAUCUUCAAGACUAAAGACCUUUGGAAGGAAAUAAAGCUGGAAAUUCAGACAAACGUGCAUGGGAAUUGUGUCAUCAGGCUUGGGGGAGAAGCCCAUGUUAUUCAAGAGUGCCUUAAAGUUUUGGACACCAGUGGAAAGAAGUCAGAAAUCGUAUGGAAUGAAGGAGAGAAGCCCUUGAGACGAAGGGGGAGAAACUUUGUAAUGGCAGAAUGAUGCUGAAUGUGGAACAAUUAAUGAUCUUUGACUAUAUCAUAUUCAUUAUACAUUCAGGUUUGUAGGUUUAGCUCACUCACUUAGGGCUAGCUAUUACUUUGUGUAAUACCUUUCAAUUACAUCCACCAUAAGGGAAUGAAACAGAUAUGCAAAAGUGCAAUACAUCAGUGUAGCAUAUCAAAUUGAGAAAGGCAUUUUUAGCAGUCUGUACCAAACACAGGUUUAAGCCAAUGGUAGAUUAUUCCUUAAGUGUAUUGUUAUUAUGACAAAUCUGAAAGGAGCUAAAAGCAUUUCAGUAGAUGAAAAAAAAAAAAAAAAGGAAGCUUUUAUUUCCUUCACACAGCCUGGAACCAAAGUAGGAUUGUCAGCUCGGCUUACACAGCUCUGCUUCAUACCAUGCAAACACCCUCUGGUCAAUGUGAGCGGAAUGCUCAAAGAAGCUGCGAGCCCUACAGAGGGACCAGCUCAUCAGGCUGCUCCACAUCUGUAAAUGCUGAAGUAUGCUAGGACUAGGGAAAGAUCUGGCUGCCUCCAUCUAAUAGGUAUCAGCAGGGUGGGGUUUUUUUGCUCCCAUUUGGUUUUUGUAGAACAGAUUUGUCACUGUAGAUUUAAAAUGCUGUGUACGUAUGUUCCUACUAAAGCCCUCGCAGCGCUAACUCAGAUCAUGAGAUUUUCAAGGAAUCAUUUGUGCACCAGUGAUUUUUCUUAAGAUAAUUAUGUCACUUAAAUGGUAAACUGACAUAUGUCAUCUGCGUUUAUACCAGUUUAUAUCUCAAAAGAAGCAGGUAUUUCAUAUGGCAGUGCAGGGCUACAGAGGAGUUGACAGUACUGGAAUUGAAAAAGCUAUUUAAAAAAGACUGUGACUCUCUGAAGUGUGGAUAUUGAGAAGCAACCCCUCUUGGUUUUGACUUUGAUGCUGGCCCUGAUUUGAGCAGAAGGUUGGGCUAAAUGACAUCUCAUCUUCAAUUAUUCUGUACUCAGAAAGGAAACAGUCCCCUAAUUCUGGUUCAUAACGUUUUAUUAAGCUCCUGUGAAAUCCAUCCAACCUAGGUUUUAUGUUACAGUUUUCACUUGGAUGUUUAUGUCUUUAUUUACCAUCUGAGGAUCAGCAUUAUGGAGAAGAUUGCAACUGUAGUUCUCAACACAAAUAACACACUGAGAUUGUGCAGCGGUGAAAGGCCUCAUGGUCCAAGAACAUUGUAAUGACAACUGCAGUCUGAUGUGCCACAUAGCCUAUUGUAUUCUCUUUGGUACUAAGAUAAAAAACAGAACACAUCAUUGCCUACAGAUCUUUUCUAAAAGAGAGAUGAACAUUUGAGUGCAAGAACCUCAGGUUCAGGAACACAGUUUCAUUUUUGCACACCAACAAAUUAUUAGAAUUAAAUGGAAAAAUCCAUGUGAUCUGCAAGUGCUUACCAAUUAUCUAGCUUGAUACCCAAACAGUGACUUGUAUGGACAACCUCUAUGGGCACUUUAACAGAGUUCACUGUACCAGUAGUCUAUAGUCAGUUGCCUCAUCCUCACUGCAUCAUCCCGCACCAAACCAGCAGGAGCAGCAGCUGAAGAGCAGUUAUUCCCCUCCACACAGCACCUGAGAGAUGGCAUCUGAAGCAUCGUGGUCUUCCUGGUGCAAGACAGACAUUGUGCUGGAACAGGCCACCACAGUGGAGAGGUGCUGGGGCACACCCAACACCCAGAGCUGGGCCUGCUCAGUCUAGAGAAGAGAAAGCAGAGCAGACAUCUUGCCUACCACUGCCUAUGGCCACUUGCUGAGGGUUACACAGGAGGUAAGGGCUGGGCUUGCAUAGAGGGAGAGGGAACAAACCCACCCUAUUUGGAGCAAGGGAAUUUCCAGCUGGAUGCUUGAGAAAAGUAUUCCUCAGGCCAUGCUAGGCUUUGGAGCAGGAGCCCAAAGAGGAGGUGGAAUCAUUUUAGUGGUAGUUAAUUAAAAUAACUCAUUGUACUUUACAGUAGCCCAAAUUUUUGGAUAAUUAUAAAAAUGUUUAGUAAAAAAUUGCCUAACUCCAAACAUGACUCUUCUGAAGAGCAGCUGAGACAAAAAAAAAACAUUGGAAUUCUGUAUUUCUUCAAGAGGCUCUUACUCAUCAACCUCUUAGCAUUUGAUUACUCUGGUGCUCCGCUGGUAACUAACAUUUGCAAGAUCUCAGUUGCAGACCAGGCUUUCCAUUUGCAAUUAGCAUCUCUGGGGACCAAACAACAGCAGAAUGAACCCACAGAAGCCCCUGCUCUCUCAGCACAGCUGGGGUAGCACACUUCAGUGCCGAGCAGCCCCCACCACCUGGUAUGUUUCAUUGCUCCUCAAGUUUUUUAUGUUUUUCUCUUGUUCCCAGAGAAUAUUCUGGGGCAAUCAUCAGGCUUAUAUUUUGUAUGCUUACCUCUUAAACAUUUGGCUUAUUGUUGAUAAGUAAUGCUAGCACCAGAAAAAAAGAAAAGAAAAAGUAACAGAGGUUAAAGAACUCCAGUAGCAAAACUAGCUGCAGGUGGCUCCUUUGGUUCUUUCCCAGCUGUGUCACUGAUGAGAUUCACCUGAGCCCUCCCUCCCCAUCCAGCCCCUGAGCAGCAGCUUGAGGCCAUCCCCAGACAUGUUGUUUGGUAUCUCAGUCAGCUCUGUGCAUCUCAGGCUGUCACAGAAGGAGAAGGUGGAAGCCAGGCACGUGGCUGGGUGCUUGCUUGGAGCUCAACACAGACCUCUGGGUGCUGUGGUGGGUGCUGUGAUGGGUGCAAGGCUGAGCACUGGGCCCAGAACUGCCCCCCAGCACUGCCCCACCUAGCUGCACAGCUGCAGGCACUUGGGCUUGAUGGCUGCAGGGAUACGGGCACGGCAGUUUUCUCACCAGGACAGAGCAAGGCUGGGGCUGGUGGAAGGGGGCUGGCUGAAGAUCAGCAUCUGAAAGCCCUCGCCCCUAACCACGUGUGGAAGAGGCUGAGGCACAGAGCUGCUGGCUCCUGUGGCUGCCUGGCUGUGCUGCUUGCCCUCCAGCAGCCGAAAUGGUGUUUACUGUCCCCGAGCAGCUGGCUCUUUGGUGUUGGCAUCCGCGCACUCUAGGCGUGCUCUGACAGAUUUCAUCCAGCUCGCUCCUGACUGGUGCAAUACGUCGUCAUAUCCUCGCUGCAGCUGUCUGGGGAUGAAGAAGCCCCUGUUGGGGUGCCAGCCAGUCUGACUGCUUUGCAACAGGAGACUGCCAGGAUCCCUGGUGGCUUUUCGGAAGGCUGGACUUCUGUCAUGUGUCCCCACCCCCCACCAUUGUACCACACAGCAACAUGGAGCUGAGAGUCCUCAGUGGAUUGGGUAAGGGCCUACCCUGCAAAUGCCUCAUCCAAGCAUGUGAGCGCUUGUUUUUGCAGUGUGACCCACACUGUCAGCCAUAAUCCUGAAACCUGAGGUGCUGGAAAGAAAAACUGCUUUUGUACAACAUGCCAGGGUUGUGUUGAAACUGGCACAAACUGCAAGAGCACACGUACAUCUGUCAAGAGUUUGGUGAGCAGGAGCUCAGCUGUAGAGGAUUCUGGGUUGGAGUUGCCUUGUUCAGAGAGCAGCAUGAUGGCAGCAUGUCUGCCAAAGCCAGAAGGGUAGUGGCUGGAGCCUUCCAUCACCAGAACUACUACGGUGUUAGACGCAGCAGGCGACCCAGAAGCCAGCUGCACAGCAGUUAGUGUCCUCCCAGUGUGCGGAGGCUGCUGCUGCUUGGUGGCCACUUCCUUAUGUCAGAGAAAUAAUACUUUUUAAGAAUAACAAGCAGAAUUUACUCAUGCUCUGUGAAUAUUUUUAUAAUAGCAAUGUUAAUCUGUUAGCUAGCAGGGGGAGAAGUCUGAAAACAUCUGAAAACAAAAGAGCCAAGAACCUCAGUGAGGCUUUGGCUCCUCAGUUGCUGCCUAUUUGGCUCUUGACCCUCUGGUUCCUACAACACAGCAACAGUUGAUGAAAACACAAAGCAACAUCUUUGGGAAGCACUCAGUUUUGUCAGGAGAGUCACAGACUCCGUUGCUGGUGCAGAAUGAAGACCUUUAUUGCAGGUGCUCGGAACCUUUUAUACCCACGCAAUAUCCCCUUGGUCACAUGUAUGAACCAGGUGCCUGGUGCGUGUUUACAUCUGGCGCAAGUAGCUACCAAGCUUGCUUACUCAUUUGCAAGGUCCUUUGUUCAUAAUGUCUUUCUUUGUUCCACGCUCAGUGCUUUCAGUCCCCUCACCUCACUGUCACAAUGUGGCCUUAUGCCAUGUCAUCAGCUAAACCAAAAUAUGUGUAUUUUGGUCAUUUUUAACUUAGGUGAAAGAAAACGAUACGCAUGACAUCAUUCUGAGCCUAGAAGUACCUACUGUUUAAUUUACAGAGCACCUCUUUCAAUUUGUGACCAAUAAUAAUGCAUACUUAAAAUACACAACAAAGCCAAAGCCACUGCUGUUACUGUUACUCAUACCUCACUUAUACAGCAAGGUGAACCAGGUGGCAAGAACCUCCCUGCCUCCAGUACAGCCUUUCAGAGGUCUUUUAGUGCUUCACCAUCUGCCAGAUGAAGAUGAUGAGUGCUACUGUGCUCUCACAGAAGAGAUUUCUUCAGCAAAACUCCUAGCUCAGAGGCUGCACCUGAAACAUGGAGUUAGACAUCAGGCAAGCACUGAGUCAGCUGCAGGAGCACAGGUGAAUUGCUUUCUCCUUUGUGACCGGAAGGUGUGGAGCCAGGCUUCUCCUCUCCUAGACCCCAUUUAAGGGCUGACUGCCACUGAGGAAGGAUCUCUUCCUGGAGAUCACUCCCUGAGGAGUUUUUGUGAGCCUACAACACUGGCAAAACUGGCAGUUAAACAAGCCCAGGCAUUGGAUAUAUUCGAUCCUCCCCUCCCAGCCAAAUUGGAAGUUCAUGUCACUCAGGAUGGCUUUGGCUGGGGCCUGUGGCAACGUCAGAGUUCUGUUCGGACCCCCAUUGGAUUCUGGUCUCAGGUCUGGCACGGAGCAGAAGAAAGACAGAGUAUGAUUGAAAAACAGUUAUUGGCUGCCUACUCUGCAUUACAGGCAGUAGAGCUGAUGACUAAAACAGCUGAAAUCAUAGUUAAGGCCACUCUGCUGAUUCAGGGGUGAGUAAAAGAUCUGACCCACCUUCCUAAGACGGCACAAUGGGUCACCUAUGUCAGCCAGAGGAGUAGUCUGUCUUCAUCACCACUGAAAGAAGAACUUCAAAAGAUCCUGGGCUGAGAGACGUGUCAUAGUGAUGCACCAAAAGAAACAUUGGUUGGUCCACCAGAGAAGAGUCCCAUUCAGGAGGGAAAAAAAGCUGUGUGGAUGGUUAUAACCAAGGAACCCAGGGAUGGCAUCCUGAACAUCUGCACAGAUAGCUGGGCUGUGUACCGGGGGCUCACUCUCUGGAUUGCACAGUGGACCACCCAGGAAUGGACUAUCCACACCCGACCAAUCUGGAGCAAAGAUAUGUGGUUGGACAUAUGGAAUACAGUUAAACACAGGACUGUACGUGUCUGCCACGUUACUGGGCACCAGCCUUUACAAUCAGCGGGAAAUGAUGAAGCAGGCUUACUGGCCCGAGUUCGAUGGAUUGAGAAUUCACCAUCUGAGGACAUUACCUAUUGGUUACAUCAGAUAUACCCUGAUGUGUGUCGAUACUGUAAGUGGGCUACUGCAGGCCUAUUCAGUACCAAAAGCAAACCAGGCUUUUAGUAAGUACCAUCAAGGCACUUACCAAACUGAUGUCUGCCUAUGGGACACCUCAAGUCAUCAAGAGUGAUCAAGAGACCCAUUUUACUGGUACACUGAUACAGCGCUGGGCAGAAGAAAAUAACAUCGAAUGGCAAUUCCACCUGUCAUAUAAUCCAAGGGGGGCAAGCCUCAUUGAACAUUAUAAUAGUAUUCUCAAGGCUGCCCUGAAGACAGAUUCCCAGUCCCUGCAGGGGGGUACAAAGAGACUCUAUGAAACCCUGUGGGACUUGAAUGAAAGACCUCAAGAUGUCAGAUCCAAUGCCCUGAAAAUGCUACAAACAACAUGGGCCUCCUGGCUUAGCAUCCAAUUUACUGGCACUGAUAAACAGCUUUCUUGGAGAAGACACAUCCUUCCCUGAAGAGACUCAGUCACCAACAGGCACAAGAGGAUGGAAGCCAGAAUCCCCAAGCAGAGCCAUGGCCUAUACACAGCUGCUUCCCAGCACUGCCACACUGGCAAAGCCACACUGGCUGGGCAGCUGAGCUCGAGUAGCACAAGGACUGAGUGUGCCAGGACCACAAACCCAAGUCAAACCCUCUCUGUGUCUCACUGAACGAGAUGGGGAAGAAUGUUUUGCCUCCCACCUCCAUCACACAGCUCUGCAAUGCUCUCCUGGGAUGGGAGGUGUAGAAAGCUUCUCACCCACCACACAUCACACUCAUCCCAGUCCCUUUUUUCUUCUGUCAUUAUUCCUUCUCUUUUUUUUACUUUUGGUUUGGUUUUUUUUUCCUUAAAGGCAAAGGCUUGCAAACAGUAAACACCUUUCUGUCCUGCACAUCCUGCUCAGAGCAAAGAUUGCAUUCAUGGAGCUCCAACACAAGACAACCAUCAGGGAAACAAAGCAUUUCAUUUAGUUUUCAAUGCCCAUUUUCUAAUAGAAUGCACAAAAUACCGGUUACACCCAAUCCUAGGCUUCUUAAUGCAAGUGCAGCAACUUGCACAUUAAGGCAGUACAAAACAAUCAGGAAUAUAUGCUAACGUAUUUAUUUUUCUUAGCAAUUUGAUAAAUGACUGUGCUCUUAAUAUUAAAAGGCUUCUUGUGGAUAGGUUCCUGAAGUCUUUUCUCAGCAACAACAGCUAGAUUUCAAAAGUUAAACAGCGGCAGUAAUUAAGGAAAAAAAUUGACCUGAACAUUUUUCUAAUUCAGCAACUAAUUUUGAACCACCGAAAUUUAAGCUGCUUGUGUUCAUCUAGGAAAUACUAUUAGGAGUAGCUAUUCGCUCUCUAAUAGCACUCCGUCUUUAGUUUCUUGUGAAUGAUAAUCCAGGCUGCUUUUGCCUUAGGAACUGGGGGUUAUGUUUCCCACUGACCUUCUACAGGCUUCCAAAAAUAGGGAUCCAGGAGAGGGAUGGCUCCGAGCGCCCACAGACUGUGCCUGCUUUGCACAGGAAACGCAAAGGGGGAUUUCAGUUUCCCUCUUCUUUGCUAAGAUGACCACAAAAACACAAACUCAUGGAAGUCAAAUGUGGCAUUAUCAGUCAAACGUCAUUUGUUUUUGUCUUCCAAAGGAAUCAUUUUGAUUUGAUUCCACAAGCACUCAGGAUGGGCGUUCGGAGCUGUCACCUAAAAGAUCCUUCUUUUUCCAUUUUUACUUCCUUGAGGUACAUAUAAAACUUUUCCUUGUUGUUUUUUUUCUUUUUUCUUUUUUGUGUUUUUUUUGAGGGGUUUUGUUUAACAUAACAUAGAAUGUAAUAACAUGCAAGUGUGAAACUGAAGCGAUUGGUACAGAGCAGUACUUUUCCCUCUUUGGAUAAGCAGGGUAAACACUUAUACAGCAAGGACAGGACAUGGUCAAGUAUACACUGAAUAUAUACCUGGCUGGGACCUAGACUAUAAGUGGAAAUACAGAGCAGCCUAGUCUAGUAGUUGGUUACCCAGCACAUGGCAGGGGGGUUGGAACCAGAUGAUCAUCGUGGACCUUUUCAACCCAGGCCAUUCUAUGAUUCUGUGAUUUUUAAGAUGACUUUUAACCCCAUAUACUACUUGUAUUCACUUUUCAACCAAAAGACCAAACAUCCUUUAAUUCUUAUUAGGAAAAUCCACUACUCCCUGUAGCCAUUCUUUAAAAGCAAAGCCUUGCACUAGGAAUAUUAUGAUAAAUUCAGCCUUGUAAAUGCCACUCGCUCACAAAAUCACUCUGUAUUUCUGGAAUGACAAGAUGUGUCAGAAAAUCUCCAGCAGUACAUUUUCCACUGAUCGCACGUUCUGCUUUACCACCUUUGUUUUCACUCCUGCAAUACACUUUUAGCUAAUGCACAAUGGACACCUUUUCAGAAGGAAAUAUUAAUUGCUUUAAUUGUUUGGGAUUUCAUAUCCCGUGCAGGUGUGAAAGGCUCCAGUGACUCUUUCUCCAAGUGGUGUACAUUUCAGUAGUAAAACACCACUAAUUACCUAGGCAUAAAUUACUUUUAACGAAACGUCCUGCUGGGGUUUUAUGUAGCACUGCCAUUUUAUUCAGAUACCCAUUUUGUUAAAACAUUUUCGCAUUACAGACCCAUUACUCCCAACACAUAACGGAAUUAAACAAAGUAAAACCAAUAGGAGCAUGAGAUUGAAGGCACUAGGAACCAUUUGGAAUUCAAAGCUCAGCUACAGCACAGUUGUUUGUCAAAAAUUACACGAAUACAUGAAUUACUCAAAACUCCUUAAACAUACUCUUUUCUAGAGCCUUAAAUUGAUCUUUAUCUUACCCUACACCUGUAGAGAUUCACAUUAGAGUCAAAUCUGCUUUUAAAUCGCUAAAUCCCUUUCAAGAUUCUGCAAAUAUCCUUCCUGGCCUGAUGUAUAUCAUAAUUUAAUAGGGAACAUAAUUUAAUAGGGAACUCUGCCAUCCCGGUGAACGAUGCAAAGAAUACUUCGCUUCAAAAUAUUUUGGAAAAGCAGUUCUCUGCAUUUGUUUGAGACUUGCUGAGCACUGUGGUUGUACUAAUUUCAACCCGUUAUCCAGAUGCUCAAAAGUACUGGGACCAAGAAGGUGCAACAUGAACACCAGCAUCUGCAAAGGUAUUUUAAGGUGACGGAAAACAAGCAUCACUUAAAUUAAAACUAACAUCAAAUUUAAUUAAAUUCAUUGUUUGUCUAAAAUAAGCCCGAACAUAUGAUAUCAGGGCAUUCAAGAGUGCAGACUUGGAAGAGCAUUAAUCUCAGUAGAGGAUGAGAUACCCAAAGGAUUUCUGCAGGAAAGGUCACUGACAGUGUGCAGGGGAUAAUUUCACGUCUACAUCUUGAGUCAGUGAAGACAUCGAUAUUGCAGAAACAACAGUUUGAUUCAGAAACACUCUAACUAGUAGCAUUGCCCUAAAAAUAAGGUCAUACGUAUGUGAACCAGUAGAAGAGCAAAGCUAUUUAAUUGCCUUAUUUUGAGACUGAUGUAUAACUUAGCUUUUCUUCAUAGAAAUUUGAGAUCUUUUUGUGAAUCCUGUCUCCUAAUGGACUGCAGGGGGACUUGCUGGCACACUCAGCACAGCAACUGUGACACUGUGAUGAGAGGAUGCUAUUAAAAAAGGAAAAGAAGUCAUAUGAGUUGCUGCUGAUUUGUUAAGACUUACUAAUUGGUAAGACCCAUUGAAGGUCUUCUCUAAAAUAAUAAUAAAUACAUCAACUGUAAUAAGCUAUAUUUCCACCACCUCAUACUUUCAGAGAAUUUCACCAGCUUACAUCUUCCCAUUGCAGCUCUAUAACAACGGUUGCCUAUAGCAACACUAUUUUGUCAAAAACAUCACUGUUUUUGCCUAAAUAGCUGCAAGAAACACCUAUUAUGAAAACAGGUCCAGAUCAGAUCUAAAAUUCUCAUUUUUCUUGCAGAUUUCCUCCGACUCCUGCCCCACACCAGCAGCCAUGUAUCCAGCACGCAAGCCAUGGAUGGAGGACUUUGCAAGCUGUGAAUCGUCAUGAGCUGUCAACAGCCUCAGCAAAUCUCACAGACAUCUGCGGCUUAUCAAGCCAGCAGCAUUUUUCCUACAUUAAUCUCCACUAGGCCUGCCCCAGCUUUCAUUUCAAAAGGCUUGGCAUGGUAUCUUCAAAAAAAAAAUCAUAAUAAAAAAUACUCAAUUUUUUUUAGAUGCAGCUGGUUUUGAGGACCGCCUUUGAAAUCUGAGCACAUUGCAGAGAUGUUGAUAUGCUCCUUGCAGUCAGCUUGCAGCAUGGGACAGCACUAAUGGCUGCAAAAGGCUUUGUGGAGCUCUGCCCUUGGGCAAGCUGAGCCCAGUGUAGAGGAGCUCUCCCCUUCCACAGGGCUUUAGGGAAGCGCUUUCCCCCAAGGGCUGGGCGCUCAUCAGUGCAUGCAUGCCUACCACCCUCCUCCAGCCAUCAGUUCUGCCUGCAGGCCUCAAGACCCAGCAAGGUUGGUGUGCUUGUUACCCAGCGCUUGCAGUGUGCACGGUACCCAAAACAAGGCAACAGCCUUCACUGCUGACAUUACAUGAUGAAAGCCCAGGAAACUGCUCCAUCAGAGCACGUGUCCACAAGGAGCCCCCACCCUGCUGGCUAUCCCCGUUCCUGUGGCCAUGCUGUGGCCCUCACCCCCUGGCUGUGCCCUGACAGUCAGGAGCAUCCCAGUCUCUGCCAGCAGCCUCCCACAGGCAUCCCCUCCUCGCUACCCCAGCGACACUCCUGUUACUGCUGUGCUUCAGCUCACAUUACACCACUUUUAAAAAGCAAAAUAAACUUAACCACAGUGCUGCUUGACACUGAAAUUCAGCUUUGGUCAACAGAGAACAAUUAUCAAAAGUUAAAAUCCUGUUAAAAUCCUUGACAACAACGUACCCUAAUAAACCCCACAGAUUUUUGAGGGACUCAUGAAAUGAUCCCUGUUUGAUCCAAAGCCUCACUUUACGUACAGCAACCUGGUUUUACCCCUCCCCCCCCCCACCCCCCUUUCUUUUUUUUAUAUAAAAACUUGAAAGCUCUCUCGUGAACUUUUCCCAGUAAUCUUAAAGUAUAAGUGUUCAUUGAACAUUUGCAGAGCCAGAAAAUAUUAAUGCAACCUUACACACAGAUGAAAGCCUAGGCACCUCUACUUGCCUGACACCUCUCCAUGAGGAGUCAGGAGCAGGUAGGUUGUGCUCCACGCCAUUGGAAAGAAAAAGGACUAAUUGUGUUUCGAAUUACAGUCCAUCUUCAGUCCCAGCUGUCUCAAAGCAGAAUGAAAUAAAAGAUUUAAGUUCACUGUAUUUCAUGGGAGCGUAUCCAUGUUUCCACAUCACAUUAAAAAUGUCAAAAUCUCUUUCUGUACAGAGCACACGUGCCAGGAAAGGAUCAGAGCAUGUUUUUGAAGUUGGCCAUGCAGUGUCCAUCACCAGCCUGGCUUCUCUCCACCAAAACCAUUUCAGAAACCAUCAACAGCCUUCUUCCUUCCUCUCUACAGAAAAACUGAAAACUUAAUAUAGAUGCAGAAUUAUUCAAAUCAAAGUACAUUUUAAAACAUACGCAGAUUUUCCAUCAGUUUUAACACACAUUGUCUUCUCUGAACAGGGGAAGGUAAAAAAUUUAGUUUAUUUCUAACUCCUACAGAAAGUUAACUCAACAAGCUGAUCAUUAGUGCAUUAAAGAAAGGAACUGGUGCUCAAGUUUCUCUCUCUAGAGUUGUCCAAAUACAUCCAACACAAGAUUGAUCACAUUGGGAUUGAAAUUACUUGCAUUGAAGCUUGAAAACAGUUUCCAGCAUAACAGAAUGUCCAACAGCUUGCAUAAAAUUAAAAUACAGACUAAAUCUAGACAUAGUCUGAGGUGAAAUUCUUUCAGUUGUCCUAGUGACUCCAUCCUAUUCCAUAACACAAAACCAAGCAUUCAAAUCUGAUGACAGCUCUUAUGCUUCAUCUUUAGCCAUAGAUAAAUAGCAUUUCUAAAUUAAAGACUUGUCUUCCUCAGCUAAAUAGGUACUUCCUCACUGAUAAACCCCAAACGCCAUACUGUCAGUCUUUAUGGAAGUAGGAUUCAGACUGCCAAGUAGGGUAAGUUCACGUAAAACCACUGAGGUAACUUACAACUCAAUGACAAUAAUGAACCAUUAAUGGUUUCUUACUGUUUUGAUGUUUGAAGGUACAUAACAUUUUCCAUUUAAUGCUGAGUGAGAUGCAGUUCUAUUGAAGGACACUUGAAUGCUCAACUGAUGCUUUUUUUUUUUUUCCCCCCAUCUCUCUCACCCAGGAAGAAGUUCACAUGGCUCAAAGACACCCAGGAAAAUACAGUUGCAGAUUAAACAAAGCCUGUAUAAUUACUGGAGUAAACAGCAUUCAGUGUAAGGCAAAGGUCUCCCACCAGUUAUCAGUCUCCCUUCUUGGUUUUCAACUGUGUUGAAAAAUGCACUAUUUACAAAGAAUAAAAAUAAAAGAAAUCACAAGAAAAUAUUCUCACUGAAAUGCGGGGAGGCACCUGAAGCCUUUCCGCUGCACACUUCUGCAUCCCAUUGAAGGCAAGAGGCCCUAAGCAGGUAACUCGCCCUCCACACUUCUGGAAGAGGUAGGGUUUUCGGUUCUGAUUUACUGCACUGUGUACCGAUCAUUCUCACACCAACUUGAAAUUCAUGCAACACCUUACGUGCUGGUAAAAUGAGAAAGAAUGCACAGUGCUGGCAGGCCAACAGCACAAGUAUUCUGCACUUGCUACCGAGGUUGACCAGAAAAUGCAAAAUUUGUUCACUCCACGAACCUCAUUCACCAUCUGUGAACACAGGUGAUACAGCAGUACAGUGUAUUGCCUACAAGUCCUAGGCAGCUAAUGGGAGUAGGCAGAAGCAGGCGCUCAAUGACUUCAACUGAAAAUACUAGAAGAAACCAUUUAUUAUAUUAUCUAUCUAAAAAUCUCUAAUAGCUUUUAAAGCUAAGUAAUAAUAAUGUUUUGAAGAAGCAAUAUUUAAGAGCUCUUUUCACAUUUUUAAUGCAAUUAUUCAUCACACUGCAUUUUAAGAAAAAAAAACAGGUCACCAUUGUAAGUUAUUCCUGACCAUUUCCUACUUGCAAAUGCUUUGUUUUCUAAAAAAAGAAAACAAAUAUAUAGAUAUGCACCUUUUCAAUCCAGCUGCUUGGCACAAAACCCCAGAAGUCAAAAGUUUGUUAAGAUAAACUGUUCCACUUGAUUGAAUUAGCUCCUUGAGAGCUGACUCACUCUGAUAAAAACCAAGGGCUAUGCAAGGAUGCUGAACAUUUCCUUGGAGGUGAGCAGAGCAAAUAUCCUAAAUGAGUAAGUGAAACAUCAGUACUGACUUCCAUGAUGGAAGGAAGCAACAAAGCCUGCAAUAAUCUAAGGCUAUGCAUUAUUUCAGGGAAUUUUGUACAGGUACAUCACCUUUUAUAUCUUUCAACAUUUAACAGAACACUCUUAAAAUCCAAGGUGAAAUGACUGCUUACUUUUCUCUCCCUACAAAUCUUGCAAGCGUUAUUGCAUAAUUGCAAAGCAUACCAAUUUUCACCUCUAAUUUAUGCACCUGAACAUGUUUGCAUUCAUAGAAGAUAUUUGCUUUUAUUACAACUGUUGGAAAAAAAAUUCAGUUUUGAGUUGAAUAUUUCAAGUGGAGCGAACAUCCGAUUAAAAAGAAGUCCACCCAUAAAAUGCUAUGCAGCUCAGAGUGAAAUCUGUCCCUAGGAAACUUGGUAGGGAUUUUGCAGGUUUCACCCAUAUGAGACAUAAGCAGAGCGCUUUGCUCCUGGCCUCAAGGAAGACUCGUGUCCUGCAGUGCCAGUUUUACCUUUCAACACUUGAUGGAGCAAUUUCCCUGAAUUUCCCCUUCACCAGGGUCACACUUGAGCCUACCUUCCUGCCACCUCAAUAGGUCAGUUGUGUUUCCUAUCAGCUUGCUCCCUAGGUGCUAUUAAAUAAACACUCCCAGACAGAGAGCCCUGCAGAGAAAUGCUUCCGAUUAAACAUAACCUUACACAGAACAGAAAGCCUGGAGCUUAACAUUCAAUUCCUUACAUUUACAAUGCUAAUUUAAAAAACAAUAAUAACAAACAAGCAAAUCAGUCAGGGUCUGGGAGGACAAACCUCAGGGCUCUCUUCUGGAGAGUCUUCUAGGAAUGAACUUGGAUCACAGGAAGUACCUCCAGGAUCCUCAGCAAAGGAGACUGAGAAGUUUGUUCUCCCCCCAGUAUCAGAAAGAAGCAGCCCAGGUCUCCCUGCUCAUAUUAACAAAGUCUACUUUUUGCUCUCAGCAAAUAUUACAGGGGAGAAAAGAAGAAAAAAAAAAAGAAAUUCAUGCACACAGCUACAAAAAUAGACCAAACGAAUGGGUUACACAUCAGCAAUAGGAGACCUCACAUUUCUUAUGAAAUAUGGGCUCCAUUUUAUUAAAGAUAUACAGUUACAAGCUAGCAGAGAAAUAAGGAUACAGGAUGCUGUGCUGAAGGCUUAAGAAAAAUCCACUGUAAUCAAUAUACUGGCAAAUUACAACUUUAGCAGCAGCAGUUUGGUAUCUGGCUUACUUCCUAAUCCUUUAAUCUCAUCUGCUACAACCAAGCUGAUACUGCCAACAAAUGCUAUGCCAUAAAAGGUGGGUAUUCUCACAUACUUUCCUAUGCUUUGCAUGAUUAGAGCUUAAACCCACUCAUCACAAACUUCCUGAAUGAUAAUGGGAUUUGGGCAAACAGUCAAGAUUUCACGGUGGCACUUGUAAGCUCUAGUCAAGACUUCAGCUAAGAAGCAUCCCUGUGCAUCUCAAGAACUCCCUUAUCAGUUUGCAAAAUUCAGCAGUCUCUCUCUGUGAGGAGAGAUUCUUGUUCCAUAUUUUUCAUGGCGUGAUUUGAGCUCCAGCAGUAACUGCUAAUGGAGUACUGCAGGUGACCCACGGUUUGUUUCCAAGCAGCUCAAGAACUGGGGAGACCCGCUUGUAAGAUUGCUGACUGCUCGCCUUGAUCUAUUUUAAAGAAAGCUGCAAGGAGUUUCUUGCAGCCUUGUGCUACAAGGUAUCUAUUACAUAUUUUGGUUAAGAGAAAGACAUCUUAGAAACAGGCUACAGUCAGUUCAUACCUCAGGAGCUGAGCCAAAACUUCUUGUAUUACCACUGGAGCUGACAUUCAAAAGGAGAACAAGUUGGGAACAACAACAACAAAAAAUUAAAAAAAAACAAAUCUGUAAUUUAAUUUGAUGCAAUUUCAAAGCUGAGAAGCAAAAUGUACAAGAGCAGCAAGAGAGAUGGGGGGGGAAAUAAAGAGGUAGCCCUAACAAGGAUUCAGAGCUGCUGAAUUUAAGAGUCUUUGAAAAUAAAAACCAGAGAGACUUCCUACCAACAUUUCAGCCUGCCAUCUUGGGCCAAAUCCCCAACUGGCACAAAACAGAGUAGCUUUGCAGAAGUCAGCAUCUAUUUAUAACAGGUCAGGAUCUGGCCCUGUAGUCAUGCAGAAGAGCUGGUUUGUGUACAGGCGGCUUCUACUCAGUUCACAGCCAAGAAGGAGACAGGAGGCAAACGUUGCACGCUGUCAUGGUGUCAAAAACCGUUCCCUACUUCUUCCUGAACAACUUCCUAAAUCAAUAUUAAACUGCCUCUUCCUUUCUUGCACAGCCUGCAUGCUGGUUGGGACAUUUUAUAAACAACUUCUUUAUGUGCACAAAGAUUAACAGUUACUCUUGUCCAGCAGUAAGAAGAUAGACUCUUGUCUGAUGCGUUUGACUAUGAACAUGAGCGCUUGUCCUCCAUCACUCCAGAGCUUAGCUGGAUAAUCCGCUCACCUUUUCUCAAAUCUGAGAGCGCCUUCUAAACUUGUUCAACAUGUUUGUUUCAAUACUUGGCUUAAGAAACAAACAAACACACAGAAUGAAAACAAAAAACAAAAAUCCAGCCACAGUUUGUAUGAGGAAAAAAAAACAGACUAAUAGACUUUAAGGCAAACAAGUAAAUUUUUUUCUUCCCCUGCUCCCCAGACACCAUCAAGACACUGAAAGAUCAGAUUGACAUAACUUCUUGGAUUCAAGAGUCACAGUGAAACAACAACUCAAAAUCACAACUGGGGAGUGCACCCUCAUCCUCCUUGUAAACUAUGCAUAUGAAAGAGCUUUCUAAGCUCCUGACAGAGCAAACCCUAUCCGAAAGGAGGCUGCUGUCCCUGGGCAUCAUAGUGGAGAAUAUGAAAUCACAACAGAAGUUAUAUCUGGAAACUUCGCAAGUGAUGAGCUGACGCUUUAUUACAAGAAGCAUGCUGCACCCGCUCAGCACCAACCCUGGCACAAUUACGUUUUUUUCCCAGAAAUCCAGUUUCUUGUUGCUGUGAGACAAAAGUAAAUAAUGACUCAUUAAGUGAUCCUAAGAAGAAAAACUGAAUGCUUGCUCCUCUCAAAAGUAUUCGUGCUAGGAAAUCUGAUAAUGUCACCGACCACAGCAGCAAACAUAACUUGAAGAUUUUCUAGAUGUACCCACUUGGCUAAGCCAGGCAGCAGCAUGCUGAAAUCACUCCUCUCUGUGGUUGUGCAGUCACCUUCACGAUGAAGCUUUGCCCUCCCUUCCUCAGAAGGUUCUGCUCCCCAGGCUGUUCUAAACAAGCCCUGAAUGCCUUACUCCAGGCCAGCAGUGAUGGUUCACGUGCUGGGCUGGGCUAACAGACUUCUCGCAGUCACCAGAGGCAGAUGGAUCCUUUCAAACUGCUUGCCAUCUACUGCUCAGGGCCUGGAUAACAUUUGCCAAAUGCAAAACUUCUGUUUUCACCUGACUUUCACAAAGAGUGAGCUCACGUAGGACUGACCCUUCUUAAGAGAGGCUUCUUUUGCCUAUGUUUAAGGUUUCAAAACUUUCUGAAAGGCUUCAGCGUCCAAAAAUUAAUCUUGGACUGAUCUUUUCAAGACAAAAAUGCAUGACUUGGAUUUUCCCUCAAUGCAUGACUGCCUCAUGUACCUUUAACAUGUGUUUGUACACUUUGUUUAUUGCAAAAGGUCGAGUAGUGAGGUAUCCGUCGAUUUAUAUAUAUGGAUAUGCUCUUUCAAAAGCCCCCGAACUUUAAACAAUUUCUGCUCAACGAGCACUACAGCAUUGCUCACAAACAGACAUUCUGUACUCCUGCUCAACCGAACAACUGCUUGCCUUUCCAACAAGCAGCUGCACUUUCUUGCAACAUUUUCCUUAAGUUUACUCUUCUUUGCAGUUACCAGAUCAAAAAAUCCUCUUGAUAAUUUAAGAGACUGAACUCUGAACAUUGCCAAUGCCAUGACCUUAUCUAUAAACCAAGGUGCUGCUCUUUUAUGGGUCCCCUGGCACAUUUACAAGCUGACUUCAUCAUCACUGCGACCUCUUGCACAUACUUAUGCUCAAAUUGGCUACUGUCAGUACCACAGACAAUAGCAGCUUCUCUUUAAUCCAACAUGCAGACUCUCUUAAAAGCUCCAGUACUUUCCUCUGCUAAGGAUGUAGGCAACAGUUUACAGAUCGGAAGUACUCUGCAGAGAGCAGAGACUUCAGAUUGGAAGUGCUGUGCUGUCAGUGGCUUCAAAGCAGUGCAUUUUGUGGCUAUUCCAGUCUCAGCAAAUAUCUUCUUGGAAAAGAAGCUGUAUGGGAAACAUUUGAGAUGUUCCAGCUCCCUGUAGGUCAGAUAAAACUACUGUCUUCCUCAGCAGUUACGUACACAAUGUUUAAAAGCAGUGUUGUGGGCAUCAGACAGCUAGGAAUGUUUCUUCUAAUUAAUUAUUUCCUCUUCUCAAUUCUGUUCUCCACAGCUCAAACCUGAAGAGGCCCUGAAUGUCAGAGUAGCACAUUUCUGAUGUUCAAGACUCCUCUACUGGCAAAGUCAAUAUGCCUGGCAAAUAGCAUAUGCCUGACAGAACCAGCAGGCUGUGCACAGAUCCACAUUCUUGUCUUGUUUCUAACUCAGUCCUUUCAGCCAGAUUAGCUGUUACUGAAGGAUGCUACCCUUCCAUCCCUGCACAUGGAAGACAAUGCCGUGCUCCUCCAGCUUGCUCUUUCACUGCAGCCAUUUCACGCCCAGUGCUCCAAACAAUCCAUACUUUUCAGAGGAAAACCUUUCUAGGAAAACAGAUGUAAGAACAGCAGGUACAACCACCCAUGCUCACCAGGUUUUACUACACUCUUACAGCAACACCAAGCAGCAUUAAAGCAGAGCCUUCAACCACUGGAAUUACUCAAGCCUCACUAAGGUGCAUUGGUGACCAUUCUCUGACAACCUGCUCCAAAGGACAUCCCACUAGUACCAACCCAUAUGGGCUGCUUGAGGAAAAAGCCUGCAGAAGCCACCUGAAUUCUCAUCAGGGGCUGCUCUGAUUAGAAAUACCUAAAGGCACGUGGCUGUCUCUUCUGAAGAUGUUCCAUCAGUACUAUUAAAAGUUUAACAACGGAUCUUUCUGAUUAGUAAUCCCUCACUUUCAUCUACAGAUCACUGUUUGAGUGAAUUUUUCCUGAGCAGUUCAGGCAUGCCCCUACACUGCCCUUCUCCCAGGGAGCCGCCAUCCGCUGCAGAGUAAGGGAAACCAGCUCAGCCCACAGCAGGGUGGAACUAUUUUAAGUAAUGGUGUCUGAUACUGGAGGAGCAUGAAAUUCAGUCUUGUCAUAGCUGGGAUGCCUAAACCCCCCUCGGAAAAAAAAAAUGCUAUUGCAAAACCCUUCCCAGAGGCUUAUAAACUCAACUCUGGAAUUGCUCUCAAGUUGUAAGCCAGUAAAAGUUUGGUUCUGUAUCUCAUAGCUUACUAUUUCAAUAAAUAAAUAAAAAUACAUCUAACCACAGCAACAGCUACCUGGACAUAUAUAUCUUUAUUGCUUGAGGAUCUGAAAGCAGGAUGAGUUCUCUUGCCUCCAUUUCAAGAUCCACUAUGGUGUGUACAAAAGCAGUACACACAGUCACAAUGUAUGGGCAGUACUCCUGGCUGGUUUACACAGUCCAGCAGACAAGCCAGGGAAGAAAAUGCUCUGUCAUAGUAAAUAUCUGAAGAAAUACAGUCCAUAAACUCUCUAGUACAAAACCUAGGGCCAAAGAGUACCACUGAUUCAGCUUGAGUCAAAGCGCUAGGUAGGAUAACAGGAUUCCUUCUGGCUUAUUAAAUUCAACUAAGCCAGAAAUAAAUGAAAAUUAAUAUCUUUAAUUAUUGUUGAUAUUUCCUUCAGCGUUCCAUAUAAGCAGUGAGAAAACUCUACCAAGAAAUUCUCAAUGUCUGUAGAGUUUCCCCACCAGUAAUCUUCCCCUGCCCAGAAAGCUGCUGACAACUUGAUCACAAGCAAUGCAGAUCAUCACAACUCAGAUGCAUUACUCUAACUUUAGUUAAACCAUCACAGAACUGGAAAACCAAACUGAAGUGUUAGUAUCAGGCUGGGGCAUGACUAAGAGGAAAAAAAAACUACCCUUUGCUUCAUCAUGACACACCCAGCAUCCAAGUGCCCCACAGCAGCAGACCUUUUUUCCCCCCAUCACUGACAUUGCCACAGAGCCAGAAAAGUAGAGCAUCUCAUCUGACUGCUCAGUAGAGGACAGACAGCAACAGAGAAGCUGCCUAGAGCCCCAACACCUGAAGGAACUUCAGGAUCCCAGUUCCCCAGUGAAGCCCAGACAUGCAGCUCCUGACCCCAGAACUUUGACUGUUCCACUCAUGUCACAAGCCCUGGGCUAUAGCAGUCUCUGAGUUUGAGACCACUUUGAGCACAUGGCUGGCACAAAACCAUGUCUUUUUGUGCCUGGACUCUUUUCCCAACUUCAUGCAUCGUUCUUCCUGAUUUAAUAUGCAGUUUUACCUUCCCGCGUCAUGGGUUACUGGCAUAUUCAGCCCUUGUUCAAUUUUGUAAGUGAUCUUCACAGUCUUCUGUCCUAUCCUACUCAUUUCCUUAACAGAUACCUUAAAAUAUCUGAUUUAAUACCUGUUUCAUUCACUUAAAAUAAGUCAUGUAAAAAUAUAACUGAAGCUUUUUCCUGAGCUGCGUUCAGUUGACGUUAAUCAUGAUUUGCUGUACUUUUCUGUUGAAAAUAGAAUGCUCAGUCAAUGUAAUCUGAUAGUUGUGUAAGAAAGGGCAGGCCCUUUUCUGGAAUAAGCUGUCAGAAAUCCACUGAAAACAUGGAACCGUGGCAAGACACACCAGCUGAGCACUUGCCCUUAAAAACAGCCCUAUUCAUUUGACUAGAAUGCAAAAUCCUUCCACUGAGUUCUAUCUUUGCAUGACACUCUUCCCAGUCUUAAAAAAAUAUAUAUAUACAAUUAGAAAAACAUAUAAGGAGAUCAGGCAAAUUCUGGAAUAUUGUGGAGAAGCAGCGACACUGCUGCGGUCAGUGCAGAAUAGUGGAUAAAGCUAUUUCCUUCCAUUUGACAGGGAUAAACUUGUAUUCCCAUUGACAACCUUAGCUCACUAUCAAUCCGUGGAAGAACAGACCUAAAGAUUACACAGCCACAUCAGAAAUGGGGAAAAUUUUUUUUCCCCUCUUUUGGAAUGCUGCCAUGAUGCCUAACACACAAGACAGAGGCAGGAGACUGGCUCACAGAAAUGGUGGCAAAGAACAGAAGCACCGCAGUACCUCCAGGUUGUUGAAAAAGGUGUACUGCGAUUACGUGAGCAUGUCACCACAUUCAUGUAAUGCUGUUCUUAUCCAAAUCUAAAAGAGCUCCAUUUAAACUUUGGGAGAUAAAAAGGAAGGCAGAAAUACUGGCAACAACCAACAGGAGAGGGUAUUUCCAAAUAUUACUGUAAGUAACAGCAUGCCUCUCUAUCAUUGACUGCAACGAAGGCAGAGUUAGAGGCAAGUUAAGGCAGUAACACACCAAACUAAGCCUUUAGUAACUUUUAAGCUAGUUUUCCCAUGUAUUGCUUUUAGGUGCUAGGAGUCUUGACACAUAAGCAGCUUUUUCCUCCCAGCCCAGCAUUCACCCACCACCACAUUCAGGUAUCAGUCAAAGGCAAAUUUGAAAACGCUGCCAGCAGAAAAGCAAAGUGCACAGCUCCAGACAGAUGUUUACCAAACAGCCCUUUUGCUGUCCAUGUGCUGAGUGUAAUAUUUUUGGAUUUUCCCCCCUAUGUGCCAGCAGAGAUUUUUCAACUUCUGUGUUUAAUGGAGGAACAAUGAACAUGGGUGUUUCAAAAGGUCACAAAGGAGAAAACCCUUCUUCUUGAGAGCAUAAAUCAAGCUGCUUCCCAGCUCCAUCAAAACAUACCUUAAUGCUGGCAGCUCCUCCCUGUCCAGCAAGGGAUCAGAGGACUACUUUGCCAGACGCUGUACAGACACACUUUCCUUAUAUUUCUUAUGAAUGAAGAAGCCCUGUUUAAAAAAAGCAAGAGCAGCUGUUAGGCUGAACACUAGGCUCUUUGAAAGUUAUGCGACGUCUUUGGAAGGAAAAAAACUAUAACUCUAUCCACAGAAAUGUGUUGCACAUAUAAGUGAUGAAAUAGAGAAAAGAGUUGGAGGAUUAUUUUUUUAAACCGCUUGCACCGUGACUAAUGCAAGUCCCUCUAUGGUUACUUUCCACUGAAACAUCAGAGCGUAAAAAUAUUACCCACCUAUUU